ACCUGGCUGGCUCAGUUGGUAGAGCAUGGGACUCUUGAUCUCAGGGUCACAAGUUCAAGCCCCAUGUUGGGCA
rnacentral:tRNA from 1 species